AUAGCGUAUAUUAAAGUUGUUGUGGUUAAAAAGCUCGUAGUUGAACCUUGGGCCUGGCUGGCCGGUCCGCCUCACCGCGUGUACUGGUCCGGCCGGGCCUUUCCCUCUGUGGAACCCCAUGCCCUUCACUGGGUGUGGCGGGGAAACAGGACUUUUACUUUGAAAAAAUUAGAGUGCUCCAGGCAGGCCUAUGCUCGAAUACAUUAGCAUGGAAUAAUAAAAUAGGACGUGCGGUUCUAUUUUGUUGGUUUCUAGAGUCGCCGUAAUGAUUAAUAGGGAUAGUUGGGGGCAUUAGUAUUCAGUUGCUAGAGGUGAAAUUCUUAGAUUUACUGAAGACUAACUACUG
rnacentral:rRNA from 1 species